GUCUACGGCCAUGCUACCCUGAACAAGCCUAAUCCAGUCUGAUCUCGGAAACUUAGCAGGGUUCGGCCUGGUAAGUACUUGGAUGGGAGACCACCUAGGAAGUCCAGGUGCUGUAGGCA
rnacentral:rRNA from 1 species